CAGGAAAAGGGAGGGGACACAUCCCACCAGGUAUAAAAGCUCUCAGAGAGGCUGCAGCUGUUUGGCUCCUCUGAUUUGAUUUUGAGGGGGGUAAAGGUCUUGAUAUAGGAGAAAACUCUACAGGGGCACUUUGGAGAGACUGGCAAGAGGAAAUCAAAAGUGAAAAGGAGAAAGAUUCCCCCCUGCAACUCCACGCGCUGGCGCAUCUGCUAAGCUGCUGCUGCCUGGCAAGAAG